AGCUACGGCCAUACACAACUAAACCCACCGCAUCCCGUCCAAACUGUGCAGUUAAAGAGUUGAUAGCAUAGUCAGUAUGACGGGGGACCACAUGAGAGUUUUUUUUUUUCUUUGAGA
rnacentral:rRNA from 1 species